UACGGAGGGUGCGAGCGUUAUUCGGAAUCACUGGGCGUAAAGGGCGCGUAGGCGGCCUGGUAAGUCAGGGGUGAAAUCCCACGGCUCAACCGUGGAACUGCCUUUGAUACUGCAAGGCUUGAGUCAGGUAGAGGAGGGCGGAAUUCCCGGUGUAGCGGUGAAAUGCGUAGAUAUCAGGAGGAACACCGGUGGCGAAGGCGGCCGCCUGGACAGGUAUCGACGCUGAGGCGCGAAAGCGUGGGUAGCAAACAGG
rnacentral:rRNA from 1 species